rnacentral:rRNA from 1 species
AGAGUUAAAUAGUACGUGAAAUUGUUGAAAGGGAAACGAUUGAAGUCAGUCAUGCUUGCAGGGAAUCAGCGCGGUGGUUUUCUUCCGUGUGCACUUCCUUGCUUGGCAGGUUAGCAUCAAUUUUGAUUGUCAUUAAAGAACUGGGGGAAUGUGACUUCUUCGGGAGUGUUAUAGACCCUGGUAGAUGUGGCGAUCGGGAUUGAGGAUUGCAGCGAAUGCUUCUUGGCUAGUCACCUGGCUUCUGAUGGUUACCUUGCUUCCGAUAGCUUGCUAACGGCGGUGAGACCUGAUUGUCUAGAUGUCAGAGUGAUCAUAGAUUCGCUAAGGAUGCUGACGUAAUGGCUUUAAACGACC